AAGAUCAAUGAUGAAUAUUCUGGGGUAUUUCAAUCAAUGAUUUUGAUUAAACCUUAGAACUCUGAGGUCUAC